rnacentral:rRNA from 1 species
UACGGAGGGUGCAAGCGUUAAUCGGAAUUACUGGGCGUAAAGCGUGCGCAGGCGGUUUGUUAAGUCCGGUGUGAAAGCCCCGAGCUCAACUUGGGAAUUGCAGUGGAUACUGGCAGGCUGGAGUACGGUAGAGGAAGGUGGAAUUCCCGGUGUAGCAGUGAAAUGCGUAGAGAUCGGGAGGAACACCAGUGGCGAAGGCGGCCUUCUGGACCAGUACUGACGCUCAUGCACGAAAGCGUGGGGAGCAAACAGG